rnacentral:rRNA from 1 species
UACGUAGGGUGCGAGCGUUAAUCGGAAUUACUGGGCGUAAAGCGUGCGCAGGCGGUUUUGUAAGUCAGAUGUGAAAGCCCCGGGCUCAACCUGGGAAUGGCAUUUGGGACUGCAAGGCUGGAGUUUGGCAGAGGAGACUGGAAUUCCCGGUGUAGCAGUGAAAUGCGUAGAUAUCGGGAGGAAUACCGAUGGCGAAGGCAGGUCUCUGGGCUAUAACUGACGCUCAUGCACGAAAGCGUGGGGAGCAAACAGG